rnacentral:tRNA from 1 species
AAUAGAAUGCCUGAAAAAAGGAUUAUCUUGAUAGGAUAAAUUAUGUGGCCCUCACUUCUAUUA